UAGAAAGCCAUUAGCCCCCAUGCGUGAGAGGGCAAGUGAAGGAAACAGCAGCAUCAGAGCCCAGUGAGGGCUGAGAGUGGAAAGAAGAGCUGCCUGGCCAUAGUGUGGUCCUGGGAGGAUGCAAAUGCUGCCCAAGACACAAUGCCAAUGCAGGAAGGAGGGAGCAAGGAAGAAAUAGCUAGAACUCCUUCCUCUUGCUCACAGAUUUCCUGCCAGUGCCUCACAUUGGCCAAACCCAACUGGUAGCUAGCCAUCAAGGGAGCUCAGGUAAUAGAGUUCUCAUGGGACAGCCUCCUGGGACGAAUAAUGGUCAGAGAGAAUAACCGGUACACCCCAAACACUGGGGAUCUCUCACCUCCACAUCCCCUGAUGAAGAUCUUUAGAGAAGCUGAAUCUAGCUGUCCAGCCCGAGGGGAACCCUCCAGGGCCAGCCCAGGAGUGAACACAGCCUGUGUUUCCACUUACAAGCAUGCUCUCUUGGGGCUAUUCUGAGUGUGGAGUGAAGACACCUAGCAACCCUCUUCUAUUAUGUUGAUUCAACCAAGACAGGCUCUGCAGGAGCAAGGUCGCCUUACCUGGACUGCCACGUGUUAGUAAGGAACCCUCUUCUGAAGACUCAGAGAGCACAGGCCUAUUGUGAUGUGUGGUUAAACCUCGCUGAUCAGUUCCUAGGUACCUCUGUCUACGCAGCCUCUUUGUAAGUCUCUUUCUGGACUUUCAAUACCAUGUUGAAUCAAAGUGACAAGCACAGACAUCCUCAUCUUGUUCCUGGUCUUAGAGGAAAAGCUUUCAGAUUUUCACCAGAAAGCAACAGAACACAUUCUUCUCAAGUACUCAUGGAACAUUCUCCAGGAUAGAUCACAUACUGGGCCACAAAACAAGUCUCAAUAAAUUUAAGAGGAUUGAAAUCAUAUCAAGCAUAUGUUCUAACCACAAUGGUUUGCAACUGCAAAUUAAUUACCUGGAAAAUUCACAAAUAUGUAGAGAUUAAACACUGUGCUACUGUACAAC
rnacentral:lncRNA from 1 species